UUUGGUGAUGAUGGCAGAGAGGUCACACCCGUUUCCAUACCGAACACGGAAGUUAAGCUCUCUAGCGCCGAUGGUAGUUGGGACCUUGUCCCUGUGAGAGUAGGACGUCGCCAAGC
rnacentral:rRNA from 2 species